rnacentral:rRNA from 1 species
UACGUAGGGUGCAAGCGUUGUCCGGAAUUAUUGGGUUUAAAGGGUGCGUAGGCGGCUUUUUAAGUCAGGGGUGAAAGACGGUGGCUCAACCAUCGCAGUGCCCUUGAUACUGAAGAGCUUGAAUGGACUAGAGGUAGGCGGAAUGUGACAAGUAGCGGUGAAAUGCAUAGAUAUGUCACAGAACACCGAUUGCGAAGGCAGCUUACUAUGGUUUAAUUGACGCUGAGGCACGAAAGCGUGGGGAUCAAACAGG